rnacentral:rRNA from 1 species
AUGAAAAACUUCAUCAAGACUCAAGUACAAUCCUGCUUGGUGUGUCAGCAAGCUAAGCCGGAGAGAGUUCAAUACCCUGGUCUGUUAUCUCCUCUGCCAGUACCUUCCAAAGCUUGGGACACAGUGUCCAUGGAUUUUAUAUCAGGUCUCCCUACAUCCUUCCAAUAUAAUUGCAUUCUGGUGGUGAUUGACAAGGUCUCUAAAUAUGGCCAUUUCAUCUCUCUCACAUCCCUUCAAUGCAUAGAAAGUGGCUGA